UAAUGAAUCGCUAAUGUACCCCGGACACUGGGAUAGCCGGCCGAAAGGCCGGGUAAUACCAGAUGAUAUAAUCCCUCUGCAUGGAGGGAUUCUCAAAGGUCCGCCGGUCUGGGAGCAGGCGAUUUCGUAUCAGCUAGUUGGUGAGGUAACGGCUCACCAAGGCGACGACGCGUAGCCGGACUGAGAGGUUGGCCGGCCACAUUGGGACUGAGACACUGCCCAG
rnacentral:rRNA from 1 species